CCAUGAUCAUAUUGAAUGGCGAAUGGUGCAGGCUCGAAGGGCCGAAUGGCCUCUACUCCUGCACCUAUUGUCUAUGUUUAUAUGUUUCUAGUGUUUCCAGGAUAGUGUUAGUGUUGGAUCGCUGGUCAGUGCGGACUCGGUGGGCUGAAGGGCCUGUUUCUGUGCUGUACCUCUAAAGUCCAAAGUGAAAUCUUCCUUCAUCUAUCUAAUUAUCGCCAGAGGCUGGUGGAUCACAGGAAACAUAAUGUUUCGUGCAAACGGUUUUCAAAUUUGGGGGGAGUGAGGAGAGUGAAAUAUAUCUUAAUGGAGUCCAGAGGGUGCAGAGAGGUUCCAUUUGUGACCUGACCCACAUAACUCACCAGCUCCCGGAUAAUGAGGUCACCAUGACUGGUUGAAUAUUUUCUGAAAUUCCACAGACUCCUAUGAGGGGACAUCCUGUGGCUAAUGGUGCUGUCCUUUAUUUACGAGCCCGGUUGCAUGCAUCAAGCUGUGUAACCUGGUGCUCACGACUCCUUGCACUGGCACUAAUUGCAGUGAAUCCCGAGAACCCCAAACGAGGGAGUGACAGAAGACAUCCCCCUGGACAGAACAGUAAAGAGGUGACAUUAAAUGCUUUUAAUAAAUCUCCAAGCAGUUCCUGGUUUCCUUUACAGAUUCCAGCAGCACUAUAAACAUUGCCCAUGUGCUUAACAUUAAUUAACUUCUGCAGAUGCAAAUUCCCAAUCAGCUCUGAAACAUCCAACAUCUAAGAAUAUGACUCCUCGUUUCCUUCCUAUCAUUUGUCUGCGCUCCACCUCAAAUGAGGCGAAGUUCCCUUGCACUGGUCCUGCCCCUUUAAGAGAGUGUAUGUUGGCCCACACAACACAAGAGACUGCUCUCAAUCCAGCACGCCACUGAUUGAUUCAACGCCUUGCUUCUGACUGAGUGAGAGUUUGGAUCUUGUUUUCCCCAUUGUGGGCAGGAGUCCAACUCAAUCCCAAACUUGGAAUGACUUCAGGAAAAGAAGCUUCCCACUUACUGCCGUGAGUUUGAUUUCCUCGUCAGGCUGGAAUGAUGGGAAUGAUGACAAGGAAGAACUUUUGAAGACUCAGAUGAUCUGGAAGACAUGAAGUACCUAUUUGGAAGAAAGACAUCCACCUGUCUGAUGGUUUCCAUAGAAUCCUGGAUCACUGGAGGACCUCUCGUGUUUCUACAGCAGGAGUGUGAGCAAAGAAAGUAGAGCUGUUUGGAAUUUGAAUAUGCUCACAAGCCAGAGAUGGCUGGCGGAAGAUGGAGGUUGCACUGAGCACUGUGUUCAGCCACUUGGACACCUAGCUACACUUGUGGAAGGAUACUACAAACUUUAAGAAACCAGGCAAGACUGCACAGAACAAACAAACUGAGGUGGAAGGUGCGAGAGGGCUCGGAGGAUGCAAGCUUUUGUCUCCCUGCUGGAGGACAACUCGUGUAAUCCACCCACGCCUGCCUGACAGAAUGGAGGGGGUAAGAGAAAUCUGUUGCCACUGCCCAGUGUCUCGCUUGUCCUUCCCUUUCAUGGCCGCUGUGACGCGCAAAGCCGCUAAGUUGCAUUGAAGGCGCAGUUUCCAGCUGACUCUUGCGAGCAAUAUUCCUCAUCUGCCACGGGAUGAACAGCCUGCUUGCAACCUUGUGCAAGAUCCAGUGAGUUUCAAAUGAGAGCUCCCGCGGCCAGGAUCGAACUCGGAAUCUCUGGCGCUGUGAGGCAGCAGCUCUACCCGCUGCGCAAACCAUGCCGCCCUUUUGUUCCACUCCGAGCUCACAAAGAACCACACGUACC